rnacentral:lncRNA from 1 species
UAAUUUUUCUUAACACGUAUUCAGUUAAGAUACAACGAAUGUAUUAUAUAUGUGCAGUUAUAUUUUAGUUGCCUGUUUGAAGUUAAAAUUAUAUCUUGUUUUAAAUUAUGAAAUUAAUAGUCAACAUAGUUUUCUGUUUAUGUUUUUUAGCCACUUUUUGUGCAACUUUGCCACCCAAAUGGCCUGUCAUAAAAGGAGGCGGAUGCCCUCCAGCAUUUAAAAAACAUUUUUGUUUGAAUGGGGGCAAGUGCUUUGCGGACCUAAUAGAUAUUUUUCCAAAUUACUACUGUAAAUGUCCAACUCCGUAUAUAGGAGUUAGAUGUGAGAAUAUUGCUGAUACAGAAUGGUCCUUCGG